CGGUGUUUAACUGGCGUGAUGUGGGACGUCCUACCGGUGGGCUUAGCCUCGCGAGGGGCGGCCCAACUAAUAUCCCGUCGCGGUGCUCUUUACUGAGUGUCGAGUCGGGCCGGUACGUUUACUUUGAACAAAUUAGAGUGCUUAAAGCAGGCUAUCCUCGCCUGAAUACUGCGUGCAUGGAAUAAUGGAAUAGGACCUCGGUUCUAUUUUGUUGGUUUUCGGAACCCCGAGGUAAUGAUUAAUAGGGACAGAUGGGGGCAUUCGUAUUGCGACGUUAGAGGUGAAAUUCUUGGAUCGUCGCAAGACGGACAGAAGCGAAAGCAUUUGCCAAAAAUGUUUUCAUUAAUCAAGAACGAAAGUUAGAGGUUCGAAGGCGAUCAGAUACCGCCCUAGUUCUAACCAUAAACGAUGCCAGCUAGCGAUCCGCCGAAGUUCCUCCGAUGACUCGGCGGGCAGCUUCCGGGAAACCAAAGCUUUUGGGUUCCGGGGGAAGUAUGGUUGCAAAGCUGAAACUUAAAGGAAUUGACGGAAGGGCACCACCAGGAGUGGAGCCUGCGGCUUAAUUUGACUCAACACGGGAAACCUCACCAGGCCCAGACACCGGAAGGAUUGACAGAUCGAUAGCUCUUUCUUGAUUCGGUGGGUGGUGGUGCAUGGCCGUUCUUAGUUGGUGGAGCGAUUUGUCUGGUUAAUUCCGAUAACGAACGAGACUCUAGCCUGCUAAAUAGGCGUACCUUAUGGUAUCGCGAAGGCCCCCGGCUUCGGCCGGUGGGUUUUUACUACCAACGUACAAACAAAUCUUCUUAGAGGGACAGGCGG
rnacentral:rRNA from 1 species